rnacentral:rRNA from 1 species
GACGAACGCUGGCGGCGGGCCUAAUACAUGCAAGUAGAACGCAGUGGCGAACGGGUGAGUAACGCGUAGGUAAAUGGCUCAUAGGGGGGGAUAACUAAUGGAAACGAGAGCUAAUACCGCAAACUGGGAGAUGGACCUGCGUUGUAUUAGCUAGUUGGUGAGGUAAAGGCUCACCAAGGCGACGAUACAUAGCCGACCUGGGAGGGUGAGCGGCCCCACUUGGACUGAGACACGGCCCAGACUCCCUCCGGAAGCAGCAGUAGGGAAUCAUCGGCAAUUGACCGCAGUCUUACCGAGCCCCGCCGCCUGAGUUGAGAAGGUUUUCGGAUCGUAAAGCUCUGUUCUUCGAGAAGCUUUAACUCCCCAGAAAGGGCCGGCUAACUCCGUGCCAGCAGCCGCGGUAAUUC